UACGGAGGGUGCGAGCGUUAAUCGGAAUGACUGGGCGUAAAGCGUGCGUAGGUGGUGGUGUUAGUCAGCCGUGAAAGCCCUGGGCUUAACCUGGGAAUGGCGGUUGAAACGGCACGACUCGAGUGGGUUAGAGGACUGUGGAACUCCUGGUGUAGCGGUGAAAUGCGUAGAGAUCAGGAAGAACACCGAUGGCGAAGGCAGCAGUCUGGGACCACACUGACACUGAGGCACGAAAGCGUGGGGAGCAAACAGG
rnacentral:rRNA from 1 species